UGAUACUCUUCCUUAACUAGCAAGGUCACCAGACCUUUCACCAAUCGAGCAUGUCUGGGACAUGGUAAGCCGCCAGAUUCGGGCAUCACAAAAUAUUGCAGAUCCAGAGCGACAACUGAUGAAUACCUGGCGAAAUUUAUGCAGGACGGCAUUAGAAACCUCUACCAUUCCUUGCCUCGACGAAUUCAAGCAUGCAUUGCCGCCAGGGGUGGUUCGACCAACUACUAAUUUGAACAUUCAGUGGGUGAUUGUGAGCCGUGAACAGGUUACAAGCAUUCGAAAGCGAUGUUGUUCAUUAUUUGCUGGAAAGAUGUUACUGGAUUAGGUAUGGAGACAGUGACGUAGUGGCGGAUCUUCUUUUCACGCUUUUCAAAGUAGAUGGCCAUUUGGGAAAAAUCUUUGAUUACCAGCAGUUAUCUGUAAGAGUUACCAAAAGAAGAAGAAGGGAUCCCGAAAGCAAGUCACUAUACUUUGCGUCUACGUGGACAGAUGAAGACGUUUGGUUUGAGUCGAUUAAACCUAUGGAUUAUUUUAUGGAGCACGCUUAUAAGAAGAAGCUUCUCUUCAGUGGGAAACGCUUUGCUGAACAUCAUAUCAUUCAGUGCAUCAAGAGGUUACCUAGGCAUUCACUUGAUAUCUUGAUAUUGCCUCCUUGCUCUAGGACUUUUAUAUUUCCAGAUGUGUUACCCAAGCUAUUGCGCUAUGGUCUUUUCGCCAAUGGCAAUCCCAAAGAUGGAAUAGUCGAAAAGCUAUUAACGGGCAUUAUAGGCAUAUUUUUGUCCUCUGUUAGGAAUAGUGAGACUUACAUAUAUCCUCUACCAUGGGUAAUCGAGAUGGGCAACACCCUUCUAAGAGCAGUCAUAUCUGUCAAUAUUUUCGAACUCCUCAAAGAUCAGAAAAUACAGAAUAGAACAAUGAUUACUUGUGCACUUGUAGAUGAAAUGAGCGCACGUCAUCUGUUUCCAAAACUCAAGCAGAGAUGUGGCGAACUUCAAGAGUUACAGCACAUGUGUCGUUAUCGUAUCAGGCAACAGCUGUAUGAGAACUGGCAGUUACCGCACGGAAUAUCGUUUUUAUCUUUGCCAAAUCUUUUGAAAGAGUAUCUGAAUUUGGAAAGAGAUUGAAGGAAUUGUAAUGUACAGAAUCUUUGUUUUAAUUUGCAUGCUCAUAAUGUAUGAUAAAUAAACGUUAUAGUCAUAUA
rnacentral:misc_RNA from 1 species